rnacentral:rRNA from 1 species
CCUACGGGAGGCUGCAGUGAGGAAUAUUGGUCAAUGGACGAGAGUCUGAACCAGCCAAGUAGCGUGAAGGGUGACUGCCCUAUGGGUUGUAAACUUCUUUUAUAAAGGACUAAAACGAGGCACGUGUGCCUUUUUGCAUGUACUUUAUGAAUAAGGAUCGGCUAACUCCGUGCCAGCAGCCGCGGUAAUACUGAGGGUCCGAGCGUUAGCCGGAUUUAUUGGGUUUAAAGGGAGCGUAGAUGGGUUUUUAAGUCAGUUGGGAAAGUUUGCGGCUCAAACGGAAAAUUGCAAUUGAUACGGGAAGUGUUGAGUACAGUUGGGGUAGGCGGGAGUCGUGGGGUAGCGGUGAAAUGCGUAGA